GACGAACCGUGCGAACGUUAUUCGGAAUCACUGGGCUUAAAGCGCGUGUAGGCGGGCCGCCACGUCGGGCGCUGAAAUCCCCCGGCUCAACCGGGGAACGGGCACCGAUACGAGCGGCCUGGAGGGGAGUAGGGGGACCUGGAACUUCCGGUGGAGCGGUGAAAUGCGUUGAGAUCGGAAGGAACGCCCGUGGCGAAAGCGAGGUCCUGGGCUCCUGCUGACGCUGAGACGCGAAAGCCGG
rnacentral:rRNA from 1 species